GAGAGCAUCUGGGCUUUGCACCGACCGCCAAAAAACGCAGUUUUGACAGCCGGCACCAAGCCACCCGGAAGGAAGCGGCAAAGCACCAAUCACAAGCCAGAUAACUAAUGCCAAAGGCCGUCGCGUCCUCCAUCGGCUGGCCAUGGCGGAGCACGUUUCUGAUUGUCCUGGCAUCACCACACCCAAGCGUGCUCGCUCCGUCUUGUCGCAUUUCUAUCGAUGGUGGAGACGACGACGACGAUUAUGCACAUUCAUCUGGAGUCCUUCAUCAAUAUGGCUCUGUGGCCGCCGACACAAUCUCCUGACACAACUUACCACAGCCCCUGAUAUUUUCUUCCUUUAUGGAAGAAUGUGAAAGGCCUGCCGACCCGAUGUCACACAACCACAGCCCUCUCCCCCUCCUGGCUCCCACUCCCAAGGAAACAGUUCAUUGUCUCAUCUUUUUGUAUCUUUGAAAUCUCUUCUUUUUUCUAAACACGUAACCUUAAAGUUAAUAACGUUGUCAGCUCUAGUCAUUCGUGUUACAAGUUGAUUGUAUCCAUGGUAACAGUACUGUACUUUUUCUAGUAUUCUGAACGAGAAAAAAUCACAUAUUAACACCUUAUUUAUAAAUUUCCAUUAAAUUCAAUUUGUAGUUUAUUUCUAUGAUAUGAGGACAUUAAUGUUUGCAUAGUAAUUAUGGUUUAUCUUGCUUCCUUUGGCUGUCAAUCAGUUGUGUUCAUUGUGUUGGACAUUGUUGCAGACCCAGACCAUCAUCGCUGUGCAUCCCCCGACAUGAUCUCUUGACACAGCCUUCUGACACAGCCUCCUGACACAACCUCCUGACACAGCCUUCUGACACAGCCUCCUGACACAGCCUCCUGACACAGCCUUCUGACACAGCCUCCUGACACAGCCUCCUGACACAGCCUCCUGACACAGCCUUCUGACACAGCCUCCUGACACAGCCUCCUGACACAAACUUCUGACACAACCUUCUGACACAACCUCCUCACAGCCCCUUGAUAUUCACCUCUAGAUGGAAGAUUGUUUAAGGUAGGGGAUUGUUUACCAUGGUAGCCACUGUAUUCGCCUUAAAAGCACCCCACUCCAAUAUUUCAUUUGCACCAAUAGGUCCUAUUUUCUUGUGUAUAUUGUACAGCAAUGUAUAACUAUUAUCAAACAAGAUUUGAUGUCAUCAAUGUCUGAACCAAGUCUCUUCUCUUCCUCUAUAUCUCUGACAACAGAUUUAAGUUGUUGUGGCUGUUCCUUGGGCACUUAUUACGGCGAAUACGGUGCUAACAUUUUGUCUCUGACAUGAAAGUGUGUUCACAUUUUUUGUUUGAAUUGUCUUGUAAUAUGUCAUACAAAGGAAUCCAUAGAAUCUUGUCAUUUUUCAGGAGAAAUCUACUUUUGGCAAAACAUUAUAGACUUGCUUGGCACAUUUUACAUAUUUUCAUUUCAGUGCAGUGUCAUACUAGCCCUGUCAAACCCGUCAAAGUAUGAGUGGGCAUGACUUGUUUCAGUACUACAUGUCCCUAUACCAUGUAUACCAAUGUGUAUAUUGCUAUAUUAACCCGUUGCUGUUGGGGUUAACAUAGCCUUGCUCCAAGUCUGUACUGAAUGAGAUAAGUCCAUGUUUGUGUAGUCAUUUUUUGCUUAUAAUAGGCAAGUCUAGAUAAGCAGACAGUACUCUCAGGAACAACUUGUUCUUAUUAUUUUUAUAAUCUAGGAAUUUUCAUUUAAACUAAUAAUCAUUUCCUUAGAAACACGUGUCAAGUCAGGGUUAUCGGUAUGUCUACACGGGUGAU
rnacentral:lncRNA from 1 species